AAAGUCGUAACAAGGUUUCCGUAGGUGAACCUGCGGAAGGAUCAUUAAAUAAUUUAGUUUAUGCUUCGGCGUAUUCUUAUUUUACUGUGAACUGUAUUAUUAUCUGACGCUUGAGGAAUGUUUGUUAGGCAUAUGGGUAGCCUAAUGAAAUGUUAACCGAGUCAGGAUCAAGCUUAGGCUUGGUACCCUAUUAUUAUUUACCAAAAGAAUUCAGUAUUAAUAUUGUAACAUAAGCGUAAAAAACUUAUAAAAACAACUUUUAACAACGGAUCUCUUGGUUCUC
rnacentral:misc_RNA from 1 species